rnacentral:rRNA from 1 species
UACGAAGGGGGCUAGCGUUGCUCGGAAUCACUGGGCGUAAAGCGCACGUAGGCGGCUUUCUAAGUCAGGGGUGAAAUCCUGGAGCUCAACUCCAGAACUGCCUUUGAUACUGGCGGACUCGAGUCCGGGAGAGGUGAGUGGAACUGCGAGUGUAGAGGUGAAAUUCGUAGAUAUUCGCAAGAACACCAGUGGCGAAGGCGGCUCACUGGCCCGGAACUGACGCUGAGACGCGAAAGCGUGGGGAGCAAACAGG